GACGCGUACUCACACAAACAUGCUCCCAUCACUCCAUCUAAGGACUGUCCUCCCCUUACUUUCUUUCGGUCUGCUACACGAUCAGCUAGACAUUCUAAAUAUAUUUUGCAUAGCAAAGUGCAGGGGUGAAGGAACUAUUACUUACGAGCAAUGGCAUGUUACAGAGCAAUGUUUCGGCGGACAAUCAAUCUUGAAGGUUCACCAAAAAUAAUGGCUUCUAUUCUGCAUAAGCCUCAUACCUUUAUCUUCCAUAACCUGCUAUCACUCUUCUCAUAAAUAACACUGUCUUUAAUCGUUAUAGAUCUAGAUAUCCUGCAACACCGUUCUUCAAUUAUCAGAUUAAUACUAAAUAGGACCUUUGUGUGUUAUUUUUAUUUAACAUGAUGAGUUUAAUCUUAUCUAUCAGACUUAAGGUACUGUUUGAAUGCCAUUACAAUGUGUACUAACUGCAGAUUAACUCUAUCUUCACCAUAUUGUUAAGCUUUCAACAACAAUUAAAAAAUUAAAAAAAUUAAUGUUAAUAAUUGCCAUGAUGCUGUAUAAUCUGUAUUAUCUCACCGUCUUGUACUUGCUAUUGUGGCAAUACAAGCAUGUUUGUUAAACCUAAGCACUGC